rnacentral:misc_RNA from 1 species
GAUUGUGGAGAAGUCUGUGUUCUGACUUUCUCGCAGUAGGCCAGUGGCUGACGUCUUUCAUUUGUGGCAGCGUGUAAUCGCUAAUUUUUGGAAAAAAUGCGGUGAAAUUCAAUGUUGACUGACGUGCCUUCGCGGAAUCGGCCAUUUUGGUAGUGCGUAUUCCACGCGAAAACGGAUAGGAUCAUUUUGGCAACUACCCUCGACGGUUGUGCGAGGAAGUGGUGGCAGCUCGGUGUCGCCCACAGGACACAGGACAGUGGAAGUGGAACUGAAAACGAUCGUGUUCUUGGGUCAGUGAGCCAACAGCCUCGACAAAAUGGCAGGAAAUACGGGUAUGGAACAGUUGAUCCCCAUCGUGAAUAAGCUGCAGGAUGCGUUCACACAACUUGGGGUGCACAUGCAACUCGAUCUACCACAGAUCGCAGUGGUAGGUGGCCAGAGCGCUGGAAAAAGUUCCGUUCUGGAAAACUUUGUCGGAAAGGAUUUCUUACCCAGAGGAUCAGGAAUCGUAACCAGAAGACCUCUUAUCUUACAAUUGAUUAAUAGUACUACUGAAUUUGCAGAAUUUUUACAUUGUAAGGGUAAAAAGUUUGUGGAUUUUGAUGAUGUACGGAAGGAAAUUGAAUCAGAAACAGACAGGGUUACAGGCAGUAACAAGGGUAUUUCCAAUAUACCCAUUAAUUUAAGAGUAUAUUCACCAAAUGUUCUAAACUUGACACUGAUUGACUUACCUGGUCUCACAAAAGUACCAAUUGGGGAUCAACCAAUAGAUAUUGAAGCUCAAAUUAAAGCUAUGAUUUUCCAAUUUAUCAAAAGAGAAAAUUGUCUUAUAUUGGCAGUAACUCCAGCAAACACUGAUUUGGCAAAUAGUGAUGCUCUUAAACUUGCUAAAGAAGUAGAUCCUGAAGGUGUACGUACAAUUGGUGUUAUUACAAAGUUGGAUCUUAUGGAUGAUGGUACCGAUGCAAGGGAUAUUUUGGAAAACAAAUUACUUCCUUUACGGCGAGGUUACAUAGGUGUUGUUAAUAGAAGUCAGAAAGAUAUUGAAGGUAGAAAAGAUAUCAAAAAUGCUUUAGCAGCGGAACGCAAGUUUUUCCUAAGCCACCCAUCUUACCGACAUCUAGCAGAUAGAUUAGGAACACCGUACUUGCAGAGAGUUUUGAAUCAACAAUUGACAAAUCAUAUCAGAGACACUUUGCCAGCAUUAAGAGAUAGGUUGCAAAAGCAAUUGCUUACAUUGGAAAAGGAUGUAGAGCAAUAUAAACAAUUUAGACCUGAUGAUCCUGCUAUAAAGACAAAAGCUAUGUUGCAGAUGAUACAGCAGCUUCAAUCAGAUUUCGAAAGGACUAUAGAAGGUUCCGGAUCUGCACAAAUCAAUACAAAUGAACUUAGCGGCGGUGCUAAAAUUAAUAGAUUAUUCCACGAACGUUUUCCUUUUGAAAUAGUUAAAAUGGAAUUUGACGAAAAAGAAUUGAGAAGAGAAAUAGCUUUUGCCAUUAGAAACAUUCAUGGUAUCAGGGUAGGACUAUUUACUCCUGACAUGGCUUUUGAGGCAAUAGUCAAGAAACAAAUUAAUAGACUCAAAGAACCUAGUCUAAAAUGUGUAGACUUAGUUGUACAGGAACUCAGCAAUGUUGUACGCAUUUGUACGGAUAGGAUGGCACGUUAUCCUAGAUUGAGGGAAGAAACAGAACGUAUCAUUACAACUCAUGUUAGACAGCGUGAGCAGUUGUGCAAGGAGCAGUUGGUACUGUUGGUUGAUUGUGAACUGGCAUACAUGAAUACAAACCAUGAAGAUUUUAUCGGUUUCGCCAACGCGGCAGCCAGUAGCCAUAAUGCAAGUGCGCAACAGUCAUCAGAAAAUGCUGUUAAGUCUGGACGCCAUACAUUAGGCAAUCAAGUAAUACGCAAAGGAUAUAUGUGCAUUCACAAUUUUGGUAUAAUGAAAGGUGGUUCCAGAGAUUAUUGGUUUGUCUUAACAUCAGAGAGUAUUUCUUGGUUCAAAGAUGAAGAAGAACGCGAAAAGAAGUAUAUGCUGCCUUUAGAUGGAUUAAAAUUGCGUGACUUGGAACAGGGAUUCAUGUCUAGACGCCACUUGUUUGCUUUGUUUAAUCCAGAAGGCAGAAAUGUUUAUAAGGAUUACAAACAACUUGAAUUGAGUUGUGAGACACAGGAUGAUGUUGACUCUUGGAAGGCCUCUUUCCUCAGAGCCGGUGUAUAUCCUGAAAAGUCAACGGAGCAAACAAAUGGAGAAGGAGAGGAAGGAUACGAGGCUGGACAAGAAGCUCAAUCAUCCAUGGAUCCUCAAUUGGAGCGUCAAGUCGAGACCAUUAGGAAUUUAGUGGACUCAUACAUGAAGAUUGUUACAAAAACUACCCGCGAUCUGGUUCCGAAGUCAAUUAUGCAUUUGAUCAUCAACAAUGCAAAGGAUUUCAUUAACGGAGAGUUGUUGGCACACCUGUAUGCAAGCGGUGAUCAGGCUUCGAUGAUGGAAGAGUCUCCAGAAGAAGCACAAAAGCGGGAAGAAAUGUUGCGUAUGUACCACGCAUGCAAAGAGGCACUUCGCAUAAUUGGGGAUGUUUCCAUGGCAACAGUUUCCACGCCAGUACCACCUCCGGUGAAAAACGACUGGUUGGUGUCCGGCGAAAAUCCAAGUCUUGGGUUAUCACCACCAUCUCCUGGUGGACCAAGACGUGGAGUGACACAGCCACCACCUCUUUCUAGUUCUCGAGCACCACCGCCGGUUCCAACAGGUGGUCGGCCAGCACCGGCUAUCCCUAACCGACCUGGACCCGGUGGACCACCACCGGCCCGUGGUACACCUGGCCUACCGCCUCCACUAAUACCAUCUCGUGGGGGUGGUCUACAGCAGAGGAUUACGCAAGCUGCGACGCAGGCUGCGACGCAGGCCGCUGUGAACGAGCUGAUGGACGCAUUCAAGAUCAAGCGUCCCGUACCCAAUAUUCCUCCCCGAAUCCCCGACAGACCGUACUACGGCCGAUUAAACUGAGCUAGUCCAUGGAAAGCGCACGACACCUGUGCACAUCCACGCCCGAGAGUGUUUUCGAAGGGGAAUUCGUUGUGAAACGAGCCGAUGACCGGGACCGAGGAACAGUCUCAGAAGUGAAAACAGGAAGACAUCGCCAGACGCCACUCUGGGGGUGGUAAAAGUGUCCUGUAUUCCGGCGGUACGAGGAAGGAUCCGAAGAACGAGGGACAGACGAUCCAUGGAGUAGGAGGAACAAGGCUGUGCCAGAAAACACAAAACGGAAGAGAAAGAGGGAUCAAGAAAUGAAGCGGACAAUGGCCAAGCAACAGAGUACGAGAGUGAUGACGAUGGCCUCCUCUAUGUCUCUAUUGCUCGAUGAUGACAGCAGCCUGAAAUCGAAUCGAUCACUUCUAACUUCUUCUUUCUCUGACAUUUCGUCUUCUAUGUUAUUUAUAGAUAUCUAUAUAUAUAUAUAUUAUAUCGUUAGACGCGUUUAAUUUACCGUGUAGCUGCUAAGUAUUAAAUGUUGGACGCGCUCGAUGCGCUACGGGGAGGAACGGGGAUUGUAUGCUUAGCUCGUGUUCGGUGGACAAGAUGGGUUUCCCGACAGGAAGCGUGGGCUACUGAUUCUUUUCUUAGCUGAACUUCCGUUUCGUUUAGGGCUAUCAGUAUUAUAGGUAAGGACGACGCGGGAAUCGACGGUGGUUCCGAUCCGAAGGAAGUUAGGCUUUGGAAGUUGUUUUUCGUUGCUGAUCAGAAAUGUCAUCCGUGAAGUUGUUUUUUUGUUUCUUUUUUUUGGGGA